ACGGAUGUGGUGAAAUGGUAAACACAUGGUAUUUAGGAUGCCAUAGCUUAGCUUUAUGGGUUCAAAUCCCAUCAUCCGUA
rnacentral:tRNA from 1 species